rnacentral:rRNA from 1 species
UACGUAGGGGGCUAGCGUUGUCCGGAAUUAUUGGGCGUAAAGCGCGCGCAGGCGGUCCUUUAAGUCUGAUGUGAAAGCCCACGGCUCAACCGUGGAGGGUCAUUGGAAACUGGGGGACUUGAGUGCAGAAGAGGAGAGUGGAAUUCCACGUGUAGCGGUGAAAUGCGUAGAGAUGUGGAGGAACACCAGUGGCGAAGGCGACUCUCUGGUCUGUAACUGACGCUGAGGCGCGAAAGCGUGGGGAGCAAACAGG